GGGACUGUGGUGUAGUUGUAAGCGUGGUUGCCUCUCACCCAUCCGGCUUGGGUUCGAUCCCAGACGGUUCCG
rnacentral:tRNA from 1 species